rnacentral:sRNA from 1 species
CCAUAGCCCUGAUGGCAAUGGAAAUCCUUGAGCGCCGGGGUUCGGCGGUCAAGAUUGUAAUGAACAGCAGGAUUAAGC